UUGCCCCGACAUUGUGGCAAUUGUUCGCCCCGACAUUGUGGCGUUUGUUAGCCCCGACAUUGUGGCUAUAGUUUGUGAAUACGAGUUGUAGCUACCUAUUUUAAUCUGAUCACUUGAAAUGCACACUUGUGAUCAUUUUACAAUGGGAUGUUGUCAACGACAACAAAGUAUGAAACAACAAUCAAAAGAUUUCUUUUGCUUUAGAUGACGGUGGUUUGACUGUGGUUAAAGCAGAGCCAAGCCGAGGGGAGUUAAGCUGACGAGGACGUUCAGCUGUCAGGAGAGGCCGUGUUAAAAACUUUCCCACGACCCGGCUCCUCUACUCAGUGACGUCGUGCAACGGAACGCGGAGAGCGGGGCAAUAACGCCGCGUGCGCCACGUCGCAUCAUGCGGUAGCGUCGCUCUCUUUGCUUCGAGCUCGCGGCAGCGACGGACGUACUCUCUAGUGCUAAUAGAACGCGUACUUGUACUUCUACUUGUAUUGUAU